UUCCAAUAAGUUGUGUGUAAUGUGUGUAAAGAAAAGAACUGCCCUUGUUGAUUUUUUUUGAAAGGUUUAUUGAAGUUUAUAUGUACAUUGUAAUAUGUUGUGUAGCAUUAGAACCUGUGAAAAGAGAAAAAAAGUUGUGUAAAUACUGUUUAAACAUAUGCUAGAAUACAAGAAAAAAAAAAAUAAAAUACUUACCUGUUACGUUCCUGUAAAAUCUGUAAAGGGAAAUGUUAAUACUGUUAAUAAGAGGUUUUAUUUUAUAUUAAGGAAAUUAUUUGGGGUUAUAUGUUGAACUGAAUGUGACUACAGAGUAAUGGUCAGUGAUAUUUAGAAGUAAUAGUUUCUGUACCUGCUUGCUUAAGCAGGUCAGGUUUUUUUUGAGGGCGCUGGAAACCUGGGAGAGAAGAUUCCCUCAGCAUGACUUCGGACCCUCUUCUGUGAAAGCGAUGGCGAGCCACCCAAAGGAGAACUGAGCUAAAAGACUACUCUUGAGUCCAUUUCAAAUUACCUGGUCACGUGGUAGGACAAAGAAAAGUGAUUGAGAGACUGAGCUUAUUUUAUUUUUAUUUUAUUUUAUUUUAUUUAUUGUUUCAACACAUUUGUAUUUAUUUAUUGUGGGUUUACUGAUUUACUGAAGUUGUUGGGUUAUUGAAAAAAGUAGAACUAAAGGUGUAUAUUCUGAACUAAAUUUUAUUAGUGGAUCUAAAUAAACAAAUUAACUAAACUAGCAACUAAUAGUAAAUUAAAUAAUAUUGAACUCUGUCAGUGUAAAAGUUUAAAGUAUAAAUAGCUAAA